rnacentral:rRNA from 1 species
UACAGGGGGGGCAAGCGUUGUUCGGAAUUACUGGGCGUAAAGGGCUCGUAGGCGGCCAACUAAGUCAGACGUGAAAUCCCUAGGCUCAACCUAGGAACUGCGUCUGAUACUGGAUGGCUUGAAUCCGGGAGAGGGAUGCAGAAUUCCAGGUGUAGCGGUGAAAUGCGUAGAUAUCUGGAGGAAUACCGGUGGCGAAGGCGGCAUCCUGGACCGGCAUUGACGCUGAGGAGCGAAAGCUAGGGGAGCGAACGGG